rnacentral:rRNA from 1 species
AGAGCGAACGCUGGCGGCAGGCCUAACACAUGCAAGUCGAGCGCCCGUAGCAAUACGGGAGCGGCAGACGGGAUAGUAACACGUGGGAACGCGCCCUUCGGUUCGGAAUAACUCAGGGAAACUUGAGCUAAUACCGAAUACGCCCUUACGGGGAAAGAUUUAUUGCCGAAGGAACGGCCCGCGUCCGAUUAGCUAGUUGGUGAGGUAAUGGCUCACCAAGGCUACGAUCGGUAGCUGGUCUGAGAGGAUGACCAGCAUCACUGGGACUGAGACACGGCCCAGACUCCUACGGGAGGCAGCAGUGGGGAAUAUUGGACAAUGGGCGCAAGCCUGAUCCAGCCAUGCCGCGUGGAUGAUGAAGGCCUUAGGGUUGUAAAGUCCUUUUAACGGGGAAGAUAAUGACGGUACCCGUAGAAUAAGCCCGGCUAACUUCGUGCCAGCAGCCGC